rnacentral:tRNA from 1 species
GAAGUAUUAGUAAAAUGAUUACAUAACUUUGUCAAAGUUAAGUUAUAGGCCUAAAUCCUAUAUACUUCC